CGUAGGGACCGAGCGUUGUCCGGAUUCAUUGGGCGUAAAGAGCUCGUAGGCGGCUGCUCAAGUCGAAUGUGAAAACUCGAGGCUUAACCUCGAGCCUGCAUUCGAUACUGGGCGGCUAGAGUCUGGUAGGGGGAUCUGGAAUUCCUGGUGUAGCGGUGGAAUGCGCAGAUAUCAGGAGGAACACCGGUGGCGAAGGCGGGAUCCUGGGCCAGUACUGACGCUGAGGAGCGAAAGCGUGGGGAGCAAACAGGAUUAGAUACCCUGGUAGUCCACGCCGUAAACGAUGGGCGCUAGGUGUGGGAGGGUCAUCGACUCCUUCCGUGCCGCAGCUAACGCAUUAAGCGCCCCGCCUGGGGAGUACGGCCGCAAGGCUA
rnacentral:rRNA from 1 species